GAUGAAGAACGUAGCGAAAUGCGAUAAGUAAUGUGAAUUGCAGAAUUCAGUGAAUCAUCGAAUCUUUGAACGCACCUUGCGCCCUUUGGCUAUUCCGAAGGGCAUGCCUGUUUGAGUAUCAUGAACACCUCAACUCUUCACGGCUUGCCGUGAUGAGUUUGGACUUUGGGGGUCUUGCUGGCCUACGAGCCAGCUCCUCUCAAAUGUAUUAGCUUGCCGGUGUUUGGUGGCAUCACAGGUGUGAUAACUAUCUACGCUUGUGGUUUUCCACUAGGUAACCUUCAGCAAUGGAGGUUCACCGGAGCUCACAAAUGUCUCUCCUUGCCAAGGACAGAUUUUGACCAUUUGAUCUCAAAUCAGGUAGGACUACCUGCUGAACUUAAGCAUAUCAAUAAGCGGAGGA
rnacentral:misc_RNA from 1 species